rnacentral:lncRNA from 1 species
UUGUUGUUAAAAUACUUUCCUAUUACAUAAAUUGUUAUAGUUGUGGAAAUUUCAUACGUGGUAGCUAUUUAUGUUCUGUAACAUGGGUGACCAUUUAGGUAUCUUUCCGUCAGUGAAGUGCACUUGAAUUGUGAUCUCCUUUGCUCGGUCCUUGGCGUAUCUGUUUGUCUGUUGAAACCUUAUGGUGUUCCUUUCCAUCCAUAUGUUGUAUACUACCGCUGCAAACACCACUCCUAGAAUGGAUUUUCUGGGAUUUCUGCUGUUUAAAUUUGAUAUCAGCCAUUGGAUUUCUGUUUCCCACGAGCCUGUUACUCUUUGAUAUUUCAUCCAUUGUAACAUAGCUUGCCACAAUGUUUUGGAGUAUACGCAUUAAAAGAAUAAAUGGUCGUGUGUUUCUUCAGUAUCCCUAUCACACAAACUGCAGGAUUGAUUAGUGUGAAUUCCCCAUUUUGCUAAUCUGUCAACCGUCGCCAAGCAUCUAUGCAACGCCAUCCAUAAGAUGUAUUUCUGUUUCAGGAGUAUUCCAGUCACCAUUAAUAACUUUUCCAUGCAACCUUGGGAUAUUGAGGAGUGGUUUGGAUGUAUGCCUUUCUGAUGCUAAUUUGCCCAUUUUUUGUACAUGUGUGCAUUCCUGUACCAUCAGUUGUCCACCAUUCUCUUGCGCCAAACAAUUUCCUAACGAGCCAUCUAGCUUGUUUAGGAGUGUCCAUGGUUUCAAUAUCUUUUUUCUUUAUGUAGUGACAACGUAUCCAUUUGAUCCAGAGUUUGUCUUUUUUGCCAUUAAGGCCCAGAGGAGUUUUGAGAGGGCCGCUUUAUUCCAUCCUUCAUAGGAUAUAAUGUUUAGUCCUCCUGCCGCCAUUGGUUUACACAAUGUUUCCCAAACAAUUGGAUUCCUAUGGCUCGUUUCAUGACUACCAGUCCAAAGGUAAUUCCUACAUAUUCCAUGUUUACACAAUGUUUCCCAAGCAAUUGGAUUUCUAUGGCUCGUUUCAUGACUACCAGUCCAAAGGUAAUUCAUAUAUAUUCCAUUUACCAGCUUUAUAAUUUUUUUUGAAAUGAGGAAAACCUGGGCCCAAU